CUAACAAGGAUUCCCCUAGUAACGGCGAGUGAAGCGGGAUGAGCUCAAAUUUGUAAUCUGGCGGUCUCUGGCCGCCCGAGUUGUAGUCUGGAGAAGCGUUUUCCGCGUCGGACCGUGUACAAGUCCCUUGGAACAGGGCGUCGUAGAGGGUGAGAAUCCCGUCUUUGACACGGACUGCCGAUGCUUUGCGAUGCGCUCUCGAAGAGUCGAGUUGUUUGGGAAUGCAGCUCAAAACGGGUGGUAAAUUCCAUCUAAAGCUAAAUAUGGGCGAAAGACCGAUAGCGAACAAGUACCGUGAGGGAAAGAUGAAAAGCACUUUGGAAAGAGAGUUAAACAGUACGUGAAAUUGUUGAAAGGGAAACGCUUGAAGUCAGUCGCGUCUCCUGGGACUCAGCCUUGCUUCUGCUUGGUGUAUUUCCUGGGGCGACGGGCCAGCAUCGAUUUCGACCGUCGGAGAAGGGCCUUGGGAACGUGGCACCCUUUGGGUGUGUUAUAGCCCUCGGUCGUAUGCGACGGUCGGGAUCGAGGACCGCAGCACGCCUUUCUGGCCGGGGUUCGCCCACGUACGUGCUUAGGAUGCUGGCGUAAUGGCUUUAAGCGACCCGUCUUGAA
rnacentral:rRNA from 1 species